rnacentral:rRNA from 1 species
UGAGUAACGCGUGAGGAACCUGCCUCAAAGAGGGGGACAACAGUUGGAAACGACUGCUAAUACCGCAUAAGCGCACGAGGAGACAUCUCCUUGUGUGAAAAACUCCGGUGGUACAGGAUGGGCCCGCGUCUGAUUAGCUGGUUGGCAGGGUAACGGCCUACCAAGGCAACGAUCAGUAGCCGGUCUGAGAGGAUGAACGGCCACAUUGGAACUGAGACACGGUCCAAACUCCUACGGGAGGCAGCAUG